UAGGGAAUCUUCCACAAUGGACGCAGGUCUGAUGGAGCAACGCCGCGUGAGUGAAGAAGGCUUUCGGGUCGUAAAACUCUGUUGUUGGAGAAGAAUGGUCGGCAGAGUAACUGUUGUCGGCGUGACGGUAUCCAACCAGAAAGCCACGGCUAACUACGUGCCAGCAGCCGCGGUAAUACGUAGGUGGCAAGCGUUGUCCGGAUUUAUUGGGCGUAAAGCGAGCGCAGGCGGUUUUUUAGGUCUGAUGUGAAAGCCUUCGGCUUAACCGGAGAAGUGCAUCGGAAACCGGGAGACUUGAGUGCAGAAGAGGACAGUGGAACUCCAUGUGUAGCGGUGAAAUGCGUAGAUAUAUGGAAGAACACCAGUGGCGAAGGCGGCUGUCUGGUCUGUAACUGACGCUGAGGCUCGAAAGCAUGGGUAGCGAACAGGAUUAGAUACCCUGGUAGUCCAUGCCGUAAACGAUGAGUGCUAAGUGUUGGAGGGUUUUCCGCCCUUCAGUGCUGCAGCUAACGCAUUAAGCACUCCGCCUGGGGGAGUACGACCGCAAGGUUGAAAC
rnacentral:rRNA from 1 species